GAAGCGAGUGACGGCGAGAGCCCUGUUAAGUGAUACUGCUGUGAACUUUUCUCAGGAACUUGGACUCCGGAAGGUAAAAAGGUCAAGGAUUCUAAAUAAAGAUAAGACAGUUAUCAAAAACUUACCCAUUGGUGGGUCAAUCGCCUUGCGAAAAACUUUCAAUUUGUCUCUUGGAUCUGUU